rnacentral:tRNA from 1 species
UCCCUGGUGGCUCAAAUGGUAAAGUGCCUGCCCACAAUGCAGGAGACCCAGGUUUGAUCCCUGGGUUGGGAA